GUCGGUAAAACUCGUGCCAGCCACCGCGGUUAUACGGGAGGCCCAAGUUGUUCGAAGCCGGCGUAAAGGGUGGUUAGGAAUAAAUCUAAAAUUAGAGCCGAAUGCUUUCCUGGCUGUUAUACGCAUCCGAAAGUAAGAAGUCCAAUUACGAAAGUAGCUUUAUAUAAUCUGAACCCACGAAAGCUAAGAUACAAACUGGGAUUAGAUACCCCACUAUG
rnacentral:rRNA from 1 species